GAUGAAGAACGCAGCGAAAUGCGAUACGUAAUGUGAAUUGCAGAAUUCAGUGAAUCAUCGAAUCUUUGAACGCACAUUGCGCCCGCCAGCACUCUGGCGGGCAUGCCUGUUCGAGCGUCAUUUCAACCAUCAAGCCCCAGGCUUGCGUUGGAGCCCUGCGGCUGCUGCAGCCUCCUAAAAGCAGUGGCGGGCUCGCUAUCACACCGAGUGCAGUAGAUUACUCUUCGCUCAGGGCGUGCAGCGGGUUCCGGCCGUGAAACCCCCUACUUUUAAAGGUUGACCUCGGAUCAGGUAGGAAUACCCGCUGAACUUAAGCAUAUCAAUAAGCGGAGGA
rnacentral:misc_RNA from 1 species